AUUGAACGCUGGCGGAAUGCUUUACACAUGCAAGUCGAACGGCAGCAUAGGUGCUUGCACCUGAUGGCGAGUGGCGAACGGGUGAGUAAUACAUCGGAACGUGCCCAGUCGUGGGGGAUAACGUAGCGAAAGUUACGCUAAUACCGCAUCCGAUCUAAGGAUGAAAGCGGGGGACCGUAAGGCCUUGCGCGAUUGGAGCGGCCGAUGUCAGAUUAGGUAGUUGGUGAGGUAAAGGCUCACCAAGCCGACGAUCUGUAGCUGGUCUGAGAGGACGACAAGCCACACUGGGACUGAGACAGGGCCCAGACACCUACGGGAGGCAGCAGCGGGGAAUUUUGGACAGUGGACGCAAGUCUGGUCCAGCCAAUCCGCGUGCAGGACGAAGGCCUUCGGGUUGUAAACUGCUUUUGUACAGAACGAAAAAGCUCUUACUAAUACUAGGAGUCCAUGACGGUACCGUAAGAAUAAGCACCGGCUAACUACGUGCCAGCAGCCGCCGUAA
rnacentral:rRNA from 1 species